UAUAUGUGGAUUUUGGGGUAGGUGUGCCAAGAUGGCCGAGAGGAGGCAACACCGGAAUGCAGCUCCCAGCGAAUGAGAUGCAGAGGGCUAGAGGACUUAAUGAUUCCAAGUGAGGUGCUCGGUUCAUUUCAGUGGGGCUG